ACUCCUACGGGAGGCAGCAGUAGGGAAUCUUCCACAAUGGGUGCAAACCUGAUGGAGCAAUGCCGCGUGAGUGAAGAAGGUCUUCGGAUCGUAAAGCUCUGUUGUUAGAGAAGAACACGUGCUAGGUAACUACUAGCGCCUUGACGGUAUCUAACCAGAAAGUCACGGCUAACUACGUGCCAGCAGCCGCGGUAAUACGUAGGUGACAAGCGUUGUCCGGAUUUAUUGGGCGUAAAGGGAGCGCAGGCGGUCUGUUUAGUCUAAUGUGAAAGCCCACGGCUUAACCGUGGAACGGCAUUGGAAACUGACAGACUUGAAUGUAGAAGAGGAAAAUGGAAUUCCAAGUGUAGCGGUGGAAUGCGUAGAUAUUUGGAGGAACACCAGUGGCGAAGGCGAUUUUCUGGUCUAACAUUGACGCUGAGGCUCGAAAGCGUGGGGAGCGAACAGGAUUAGAUACCCCGGUAGUCCCAU
rnacentral:rRNA from 1 species